GCGGGCGUGGCGGAAUGGCAGACGCCGGGGACUUAAAAUCCCCUGAGCUUGGCUCGUGCGGGUUCGAGUCCCGCCGCCCGCACCA
rnacentral:tRNA from 1 species